UACGUAGGGUGCAAGCGUUAAUCGGAAUUACUGGGCGUAAAGCGUGCGCAGGCGGUUCGCCAAGUCAGGUGUGAAAUCCCCGGGCUUAACCUGGGAAUUGCGCUUGAAACUAGCGGGCUUGAGUGUGGCAGAGGGGGGUGGAAUUCCACGUGUAGCAGUGAAAUGCGUAGAGAUGUGGAGGAAUACCGAUGGCGAAGGCAGCCUCCUGGGCCAACACUGACGCUCAUGCACGAAAGCGUGGGGAGCAAACAGG
rnacentral:rRNA from 1 species